ensembl:misc_RNA
CUGACAAGCCUGGAAACUGAAGGCCUCUGUUUAUCCACAGGAUAGGUUAAAUUUCCCUAACCUACACCAUGUUUCAUCUCUCUGAUGGAGGGACCACCCAAAGGCAAACAAGGAGAGUUCAGUCUGCCUGGCUCACUCAAUCCUUCCGCUCUC